rnacentral:rRNA from 1 species
UAAGCGCCGGUAAGGUGAUAUGAACCGUUAUAACCGGCGAUUUCCGAAUGGGGAAACCCAGUGUGACUCGUCACACUAUCAUUAACUGAAUCCAUAGGUUAAUGAGGCGAACCGGGGGAACUGAAACAUCUAAGUACCCCGAGGAAAAGAAAUCAACCGAGAUUCCCCCAGUAGCGGCGAGCGAACGGGGAGGAGCCCAGAGCCUGAAUCAGCAUGUGUGUUAGUGGAAGCGUCUGGAAAGGCGCGCGAUACAGGGUGAC